AAGUCGUAACAAGGUUUCCGUAGGUGAACCUGCGGAAGGAUCAUUAUUGAAUUUUAAUGAAGAGUUUGGUUGUAGCUGGCCCAUUAAUUUAGGCAUGUGCACACCUUUCUCUUUCAUCCCAUACACACCUGUGAACUUGUGAGACAGAUGGGGAAUUUAUUUAUUGUUUUUUGUAAUAUAAAGAUAAUAAAUCAUUGAACCCUUCUGUCUACUCAACUCAUAUAAACUCAAUUUAUUUUAAAAUGAAUGUAAUGGAUGUAACGCAUCUAAUACUAAGUUUCAACAACGGAUCUCUUGGCUCUC
rnacentral:misc_RNA from 1 species